rnacentral:rRNA from 1 species
AUGGCGAGUGAUGCCAUGGCCAGCCCUUUCGCUCCUCUCACCAACCAGCCGCAGCAGCAGCAGCCGUCCCAUGAACACCCUGCCGCUCCUCCCCCGAAGAAGAAGCGCAAUCUCCCCGGUACACCAGACCCUGACGCGGAGGUGAUCGCGCUGUCGCCACGGACGCUGAUGGCGACGAACCGGUUCGUGUGCGAGAUCUGCGGCAAGGGAUUCCAGCGCGACCAGAACCUGCAGCUGCACCGGCGUGGCCACAACCUCCCCUGGAAGCUGCGGCAGCGGAGCGGCAAGGAGCCGAGGAAGCGCGUCUACGUCUGCCCCGAGAAGAGCUGCGUCCACCACAACCCGUCCCGCGCGCUGGGCGACCUUACCGGGAUCAAGAAGCACUUCUGCCGCAAGCACGGCGAGAAGAAGUGGAAGUGCGACAAGUGCGCCAAGCGCUACGCCGUGCAGUCCGACUGGAAGGCCCACUCCAAGACCUGCGGCACGCGCGAGUACCGCUGCGACUGCGGCACCCUCUUCUCCAGGCGGGACAGCUUCAUCACGCACCGCGCCUUCUGCGACGCGCUCGCCGAGGAGACCGCCAGGCUCACGGCCGCCACUUCGGGCGCCGCGGCGGCGUCCGCGCCUUCCAUGUGCGGCGGCGGGCAGGGAUACCUCUUCGCCAGGCCGAACAGCAUGAUGCUCCAGCCGCCGCUCGCCGCGCACCUAAAGCCUGCUGCGGGAGGGCAGAUGCUCGGCCACGCGGCGGGUGCAGUCGGGGACCCGCUCUGCGACGGCGCCGCUGCGAGGCACGGCGGGCUCUCGCUGUGGGGCAGCGACAACACGCUGCCGUCCUCCAUGGGCCACCACAUUGGCGGUCUCCUGUCGUCCGGUGGUGGUGGUACUGGCCCGCCAAUGCCAAUGCAGAUGUACGCGGAUCUCUUCGCGCCGAGCUCCGGUGCGCCGCCUCAGUUCGACAUGGCGCAGCUGAGCUGGCUGUACGGGAACAACGGCGGCAACGGGAAGCUCUCGUCAUCUAACGCCAGUGAGCUGACGACUAACUCCUCCAGAGAGGCGGACAGUGUGCCGUCCGUGUUCAGCGGCCAGCAGCACGCAAAGCCGGCCGCAGCUCCCACCGACAUGUCGGCGACGGCGCUGCUGCAGAGAGCCGCGCAGAUCGGUUCCGUCAGGUCCUCCAACACCUCGAUGCCGCUCGCGGGGGCCUUCGAGCAGGCGCCCAACUCCGCCGGGCGGAUCGACGAGCGCAGCAAGUUCGACGACAGAGCUCUUUUCUGCGCGAGCCAGCACCAGCACAAUGCUAACGUCCCCAGUGCAAUGAGCGAGCUCACGACGGCCACAGGGAACGUGCCGUACGACGUGUUCUCGGCCGCGCACCACGCCGGCCUCAAGGACGCCGUCGGGAGGGAGGAGACCAGGGACUUCUUGGGCGUCGGCAUGCAAGCACUCUGCUCAUCAUCGAUACAUGGGUGGAUUUAG